GAUGAAGAACGCAGCGAAAUGCGAUAAGUAGUGUGAAUUGCAGAAUUCAGUGAAUCAUCGAAUCUUUGAACGCACAUUGCGCCCCUUGGUAUCCCGAGGGGCAUGCCUGUUCGAGCGUCAUUUCACCACUCAAGCCUGGCUUGGUGUUGGGCGACGUCCUCUUUGGGGACGCGCCUCGAAACGCUCGGCGGCGUGGCACCGGCUUUAAGCGUAGCAGAAUCUUUCGCUUUGGAAGUCGGGGCCCCGUCUGCCGGAAGACCUGCUCGCAAGGUUGACCUCGGAUCAGGCAGAGAUACCCGCUGAACUUAAGCAUAUCAAUAAGCGGAGGA
rnacentral:misc_RNA from 1 species